rnacentral:tRNA from 1 species
GGUCUUAUAUUCAUUGGAUGAUAUUGGAAUGCAAUUCUUAAGGUGUAAUUUAAAAGGUACUAAGACUU